rnacentral:rRNA from 1 species
GAUGAACGCUGGCGGCGUGCCUAAUACAUGCAAGUCGAGCGAACAGAUAAGGAGCUUGCUCCUUUGACGUUAGCGGCGGACGGGUGAGUAACACGUGGGUAACCUACCUAUAAGACUGGAAUAACUCCGGGAAACCGGGGCUAAUGCCGGAUAACAUUUAGAACCGCAUGGUUCUAAAGUGAAAGAUGGUUUUGCUAUCACUUAUAGAUGGACCCGCGCCGUAUUAGCUAGUUGGUAAGGUAACGGCUUACCAAGGCAACGAUACGUAGCCGACCUGAGAGGGUGCUGGCCCACACGGGAAGGGAGACGGGGCCCAGCCUCAUAGGGGAGGAAGAAGGGGGAAAUCUCCCGCAAUGGGGGAAAGCCUGACGGAGCAGCGCCGGGGGGGUGAGAAGGGUCUUGGGAUCUUAAAACUGUUUUAUUGGGGAAAAAAAAAUGUGAAAGUAACUGGGCACGUUUUGAGGGUCCCUAAUCAAAAGGCCACGGCAAACUCGGGG